AGGCCAUCGUGUUAGUCGCGGUAUCAAGUACAAGCCAGUCUCCAUUUGAUCCAUCGUCAGUGAAACUCUCUGAGACUCUCUGAGAGAGUGAAAUCUCUCGCUAAAACGCCGAGAACCAUCAUGACUUUCCGAUGUUUGCUCAUGUUUCCAUUUUGGCGGCGUAACUCCAGGUAUGUGUCGCCACAUUCUCGGGUUACGUUGAAUAAAGAAAGGAAAAGUUAAAUAAAGCAGCAAUAUUUUCUGAGGUAAAAGUUACUAGAACCGUGCCUACAAUCAAGCUAGCCAAUCACUGCUCUGACCUCAUCAGCCCGUUUGUAUUCUAUUAUUUGAUUCGCUCUUGACGCGUGUGACAGGACAGCUAACCAAUCACGAUGAUCUCGUCUUCGGAAAAGAUUAUUUUAUUCGCUUACAUCAGAAACAGCUAACCUCUUUAAAAACUAGCUGUUGUUCUCACUACAUUGCAUUGUUAUGAUUCGUAAAAGUUUUACCCUGACACUGACACUGUUACAUAUACUCGCCAACGCCGAUUUUUACUCGCAUUUGGCGCUUGGUGAGUGUUAAUUUUAGGCCCUGGGUGAGCCUGUGCUAAUGCUAGCCUGUUCUUGGCUGACAGGAGUGGAACUCGAUGAGGUCUUCUGUUGUUGUAGCGCAUCCACCUUAAGGUUUGAUGUUUUGGACAUGCCGAGGUGCAGAUCUUGCCUUUAAUUAAAUGGUAUGGAGAGCAACUGUACAACCGUACUGGGGAAGGACCUGUGAGAUCUUGGGCAGCUUCUUGAAGGAAUUUCUUGAGGGAUGUUAGUACGAAACAGGAAAAAUAAGAGAACUCAAUUAUCUAGGUAGCCAUGUUGAAUAGGGUGUUGCUAUCUGGAAGUGAUCUGGAAGUUCUUAGAAGAGGAGGGAAGGGACCCAGUGGAGAAAUUCUUGAAGAAGUUAACUGCAACUGGAGAUGGGAGGAAGAGUUACUUUUAUAGUGCUUCUGCAACUUGCAACUUCUCCCAGGCAGGCCCUACAGAUGAUAGUGUCUUAACACUGGUGAGCAAGCCUCAGGUAACAGUAUGGAGUUUUCCAUCCAGCUCUUUUAUUCAAAUUUUGAAAAUGCAAAUAAAAAACCUGAACAUGAACAGGAUAAAGCAGUUACUGAAGUUGAAUGAAUGAAUGAAUGAAUGAAUGAAUAUCAAACGUUUUAAAAUUGUAAAAAGAAACCUUGGAUGGAGCUUGAAGGAAGAAACAAUUUAGGAAAGAACAAAGGCUCAGCAGAGGAAGCCUGUCCUUCUCUGACUAGCAAUGAAAACAGCCAAGGAUGAAAAUCCUGGUUGUGGCUGUGAUCAGUAGAUUUAACUGCAGGUAUAACUAGUUUCAGCGUGGUUGAAGAGGAAAGUUGGUCAUGCUAGGAGCUCAACUGACAAACAUGCAGCAAGAGCUUGACAUUCCUUCUAGG